AAUCAACGCUGGCGGCGUGCCUCAGACAUGCAAGUCGAACGAUUAAAGCUCUCUUCGGAGAGUGUAUAGAGUGGCGCACGGGUGAGUAACACGUAAGUAAUCUACCUUUGAGUGGGGAAUAACCCGGGAACCCGAGCUAAUACCGCAUAAUGCAGCGGCAUCGCAAGAUGACAGUUGUUAAAGGAGCAAUCCGCUUAAAGAGGAGCUUGCGGCAGAUUAGCUAGUUGGUAAGGUAAUAGGCUUACCAAGGCUACGAUCUGUAUCCGGUCUAAGAGGACGGUCGGACACACUGACACUGAAUAACGGGUCAGACUCCUACGGGAGGCAGCAGUCGGGAAUUUUGGG
rnacentral:rRNA from 1 species